CAGAACUACGCCUGGUUUAAAGAAGGAGGAACCUCACCUGUAGGAUCUGGACAGACAUACAACAUCACCAUCAGCUCUAAUAGCAGCGGCUGGUAUUACUGUGUAGCUCAGAAUGAACACGGGAUGCUGAAAUCAGCUUCCAUAGAUGCCACUUUAAAGGGUCACUUCUACAUUUUGCCUAUAGCUGUUGGAGUCGGCCUCUUUGGAGGCAAGAGGCAAAAGAGAAAUACAGAUGAAUCUGAUUAUGGGAACGCCGGCCUCAACCCCUGUCAUACCUGUGACACUUCCACAUCCAGCUCUCCUGUGUAUGAGAAUACUGCAGACUUAAGGAAACAUCACUAAGAGAAUCAUCACUGAGAAAUUAAACUUGCAGCUGUAUCCCAAUGCAGUCAAAAGAGUGAGAGAUAUAGAGGGGAAGAGAGAUGCAUGAUCACAUGUAGAGAAGAGUGUUCAGUUAAUCAACAGUAAAAAAUGUAAUCCACUGCAAAAAAUGUUGCAGCCUUUCAUUUUUUUUUUUUUUGUACUG